UUCCUCAGUUUCUUCUCCCCGACGCCGCCCGCGCCCCUUCUUCUCCUAUUAUUCUGCUUCAUUUCCUCUCUUCUCCUCUCACGUCGAAGCCUUUUUCCCUCUGCCCCUUUCCAGCGCCGCCGACCCGAGUAGCACCGCCGUAAACCGUGCCCUAGCCGCGGGCGACGUACGGAGCAGCGCCGAUAGCCGGUGCCCUAGCCUCAGCCCGCGACACCCGACUCCAGCGACGCCACUUCCUUGCCUCUGCCGCCGUCGAACGGAGAGUGCCGGUCACCCUUUCCUCUGCCCUCGAGCCCGAGCACUGCCGACGCAGAAGUUCAUCUGUGCCCUAGCACUGACGCCGUCGACGGAUUGCCAUAAAAGCUUGCUGGAAGAAAAGAUCAGCACCACCAUUUAGUCUCUGCCCUGGCGAAGGUUUGUGGCGGCAAGAUUUUCCGGCUAGCAUUGUCCAGUAUCUGCGUUUUCUAGCCGUGUGUCCACAGGGGCAACAUUGUAUUAGAGUAAAGGACUUUGAUUUGGGACGAUAUCUCGACGAGUAUCUUGAUUACCGGAUUGGACCAUUUUAUU